rnacentral:misc_RNA from 1 species
UGAAACAAGAAAGUGAAGAACAAAGGGAAAUUCGAGAUUCAACAAUGUGACUUGAAAUGGAGGAUUCCAAGUUUGAGGAAUCUAAACUAGAAGCUCUGAUUGAGUUUCCUUUUGCCAUGAUUGAAGAUGAAGAACAUGAAGAAUGUGUUAAAAGGAAAUGACAAAUAUCACAUUUUGGAGAUUCCAAAAGAAGUUGAGGAAAAACAAUCAAUGGGGACAGUAUUGAAACUUGGAGAAAAUCAAGUUAUGGAUAUCCUGGAGAUUAAAAACUUCUCUAACUCCUUAAUUCCUAUUAUUUUGGUAAAUUUUAUUUGUUCGGGUGUUUUUGGGGAGACAAAGGUGAAGGUGAAGUUAAUUAAUUCAAUUUUGCUCAAUUCUCCAUUAACUACCUCAACAAAGAAAGUAAUAUUGUGUGCUUCUCCAAUGAAAACUUUCAUUCUCUUCCACUUCAAAAUUCAAGGGAGGACUUGUUCCAAGUAGGGGGAGAAUGAUGUGGAAGUUUUUAUGGCUUCGUUUGGGUUUGUUGCACAGUAUUCCAACUCAAUGACCAUUUUUU